UACGAAGGGGGCUAGCGUUGCUCGGAAUCACUGGGCGUAAAGCGCGCGUAGGCGGAUCUUUAAGUCAGGGGUGAAAUCCCGGGGCUCAACCCCGGAACUGCCUUUGAUACUGGGGAUCUUGAGUUCGAGAGAGGUUGGUGGAACUGCGAGUGUAGAGGUGAAAUUCGUAGAUAUUCGCAAGAACACCAGUGGCGAAGGCGGCCAACUGGCUCGACACUGACGCUGAGGCGCGAAAGCGUGGGGAG
rnacentral:rRNA from 1 species